rnacentral:lncRNA from 1 species
GUAGGUGAGGAGGUAUGUACAUUAACUUAUUACAUGUAAUCAUAAAUAUUUCACAAUUUUUGUCAACGAGUAAUUUGCUAUGUAUUUUGUUACAUUCUAUUUGGAUCUAGGGUUUAUAUUUUUGGGUUAGGGUUUACUGAUUAGGGUUUAGGGUUUAGUAUUUAGAAUUUAGUAACCUGAUCAGUUGAGCGUUAUUCUCUCAAUUAUGU